UUUUUAUGGUGUAACAAACACGUUGAAUUUUCGAUUCAGAGAUGGGAAAAUC
rnacentral:tRNA from 1 species